GACGAACGCUGGCGGCGUGCUUAACACAUGCAAGUCGAACGGAAAGGCCCUGCUUUUGUGGGGUGCUCGAGUGGCGAACGGGUGAGUAACACGUGAGUAACCUGCCCUUGACUUUGGGAUAGCUUCAGGAAACUGGGGCUAAUACCGGAUAGGAGCUCCUGCUGCAUGGUGGGGGUUGGAAAGUUUCGGCGGUUGGGGAUGGACUCGCGGCUUAUCAGCUUGUUGGUGGGGUAGUGGCUUACCAAGGCUUUGACGGGUAGCCGGCCUGAGAGGGUGACCGGCCACAUUGGGACUGAGAUACGGCCCAGACUCCUACGGGAGGCAGCAGUGGGGAAUAUUGCACAAUGGGCGGAAGCCUGAUGCAGCAACGCCGCGUGCGGGAUGACGGCCUUCGGGUUGUAAACCGCUUUCGCCUGUGACGAAGCGUGAGUGACGGUAAUGGGUAAAGAAGCACCGGCUAACUACGUG
rnacentral:rRNA from 1 species